rnacentral:lncRNA from 1 species
GUUUUGGCUAGAAAGGAGAGUAAGCUGAUGAUUGUUCAAGUAUAUAAAAUCCUCGAUCGCUUACGUCAUUUGCGCUUCGGUGGUGCCAGUAAUGAGUACAGAGGUUAUCCUACCAUGGCCCAUGAAGUUACCCGAUAUUUUUACCUAUACCUAGGGUACCGCUUGUUAAACUUGUUCGCUUUCCUUACCAUUAGUCACUAACUAAGUGUUUGGCUAUUUGGGUAGAGCCUACACUUUAUAGUUGCCUGGACCGUCAAAACCUCUGAAAAGGUCCAAUCACAGGUUUGC